UAGCUCAGUCAGUAAAGAAUCUGCCUGCAAUGCAGGAGACCCAGGUUCGAUUCCUGG
rfam:TPA: Bos taurus chromosome 6, whole genome shotgun sequence.